GGCGUCAGAUUGAGCAUUUUUUUGGGGCUUCGGUUUUGUCAAUUCAACACACUUUUUUCAAGAUAUUCACUGCGCACCAGUGUCAUGUCGGUGGGUUUCAACUUUGCCGACAUCGAUUAGGAACCCGCCAUUUGUCAAUAACAAACGGCGCCGGAUUAUUCAGAUGGUUUAGUUGCAAAUCCGGACCAUUUUCGCCAGUGACCACCGACGGCCUCUUGUUGCUGAGGAAUCGCGCGGAGUUAGUCCAAUUUUGCAGAACUAGGAUGAGAAUUGCUCAAAGUAUGCGAAUGAAUCUUCAGAGUUGCCGCUUGGAUUGAUCUAUAUCAGGAUCUUGAGGCUUAAUUUAACUUCAUAAAUUCAAUGACACGGCAACACAUUUAAUUUCGGGGAAGAAGGACGAAAAUUUCACAAUCACGGGCUGGCCAUCGGGCAUUUCUACUUGCUCGAAGCUGCUUUGUCGAUGUGGCUAUCUCCUUGGAAAAUUGAAUUUAAGAUAUGAUUUGUCUCUUGUAGCUAGGUUGGCAUUAAUAGUUCAUUAUUGGUAGCUUUCUUCUCCUUCAGCUUAUAUUCGUAUUCAUUGUCAUCUGUUUAUUUUUGCCCAGUUAGUGAGAUUAAUGGGAAAUUAUUCAAUAGACCUGGUAUACCAUGUCAUCAGAUGAUAUGGUACACCCAAU
rnacentral:misc_RNA from 1 species